CUGGAAACAUGAAUUCAGCACCCCAAAGAACGAAUAUUUAUUUUCAUAGAAACAAAGGGCUUGUGUGAUAACUUCCAUUGUUUACAUUAAUGAAUAUAAUCUGUUCUAAUGACAUUUCAGGUAUCUGUAGCCUCAACUAAUUUCUAUUCAUAUGAUUUUUUUUUUAGAUGUUUGUAACUGGAGGAAAGCACUGGAGCAUGAAUUCCAUUAUAUUUACCCAUAUGUGCCUUCAAUAAGUGUCUAAACUCCUCCCAGUAAUUAAUCAGCCACUCUGUGGUAGCGGGGAGUGUCCAUGGCUCUCAGCACACAGCUCGUUGUUAACGCUGGGAGCGCUGCGCCAUCGUCUGGGAAAGCCGGGAACGGCCUGGAGGGCUCCCAGGUGAGCAGAGCCUGUGUCCGUACAGGUGUGUCAGACUUGUUCUCACAGGGGCUUGGAAACAGGAACACGAGAAAUCUGUAAAAAAAGUGCAGAAUAAUGGUAUGCUACGUUGAAAUAUGGAGCAUUAUUUUAACUAUGAAAAUGUUUGUUUAAAGUGUUUUUCUCAAAAAUUCUGUUUUACAAUUAAAAGGCCAGAUACUAGACUUAGGUAACUGGUUUUAUAAGUUUACGUUUCAUCAGUUUAUUUAGGAAUUUAUUAAAUAAUUUCUUUGUGUGUGCUUUGGGAAAAAGAAAUAGAAAGAUUGCAGGGACUUGGGUGCUCUUAAUGCACUGUGAUAAAAGCAAAUUUUUAGUCUGCUUGCCAUCUGGGUCCUUUUGUUUAUUCAUCAGCUGAACUAAAAAUCCCUGUGUGUAUCAGGACUUAGUUUACUAUGUAAAACAAUGCAAAACACUCUCUGGACAGACA